rnacentral:rRNA from 1 species
UUUUACAAUGAAGAGUUUGAUCCUGGCUCAGGAUGAACGCUAGCGGCAGGCCUAACACAUGCAAGUCGAGGGGUAACAGGGAAGCUUGCUUCCGCUGACGACCGGCGAACGGGUGCGUAACACGUAUGCAACCUGCCUCUAACUGGGGGAUAGCUCAUAGAAAUGUGAAUUAAUACCCCAUAAUAUAUAAAUAAGGCAUCUUUUUUAUAUUAAAGCUCCGGCGGUUAGAGAUGGGCAUGCGGGACAUUAGCUUGUUGGUGAGGUAACGGCUCACCAAGGCUACGAUGUCUAGGGGGUCUGAGAGGACUAUCCCCCACACUGGUACUGAGACACGGACCAGACUCCUACGGGAGGCAGCAGUGAGGAAUAUUGCGCAAUGGACGAAAGUCUGACGCAGCCAUGCCGCGU